AGCAGCCGCGGUAAUUCCAGCUCCAAUAGCGUAUAUUAAAGUUGUUGCAGUUAAAAAGCUCGUAGUUGAAUUUCGGGGUUAGUAGGUUGGUCAUGCCUCCGGUAUGUACUGAUCUCACUGAUUCCUCCUUCCUUAUGAACCGUAAUGCCAUUAAUUUGGUGUUGCGGGGGAUUUGGACUGUUACUUUGAAAAAUUAGAGUGUUUAAAGCAGGCUAACGCUUGAAUACAUUAGCAUGGAAUAAUGAAAUAGGACGUUCGAUCUUAUUUUGUUGGUUUCUAGGAUUGACGUAAUGAUUAAUAGGGAUAGUUGGGGGCAUUAGUAUUCAAUUGUCAGAGGUGAAAUUCUUGGAUUUAUUGAAGACUAACUACUGCGAAAGCAUUUGCCAAGGAUGUUUUCAUUAAUCAAGAACGAAAGUUAGGGGAUCGAAGACGAUCAGAUACCGUCGUAGU
rnacentral:rRNA from 1 species